rfam:Gossypium hirsutum cultivar TM-1 chromosome 19, whole genome shotgun sequence
AUCUUUGCGCUUGGGGCAAUGACGCAGCUCAUGAGGUUCUAACCGAGGCGCGUCUAUUGCUGGUUGAAAACUAUUUCCAAACCCCCUCUUAGGCCUGGGCUUGUCCCUGGCCUUCGAGAAUUUCUGGAAGGGCUCCCUAUGGGGUAAAGCC